rnacentral:lncRNA from 12 species
GAGGCAGGGAGAACUUUUUUGUUUUUUGUUUUUUAGAACUUGGGUUUUUAACUCUGAGGAGAGUGGGAGCCCUGGAGGGCUGCAGACCUGGCUCAGGGGCUCACGGGCACCCUCUGGGGGCUGGUGUGGGGAGGAUAGACUAUGGGAGCAUGGGUGGCCUGGGGACCAGGACUAGUCCAGGUAGGCCAUGAUAGGAUAGGACCAGGUGGGGCUAAGGAGGAGGAAAGUGGGUUGCUUCUGGCUAGAUUUUGAACCGGAGCUUCUAGGGUUUGCUGAAGGAUUCGAUAUGCGGUGUAGAGAGAUGCUGAGGAUCCCCCGAUGCUCCUGGCCUGAGCGAGUGAAGAACUCAUGUGUCUUGAACGGAACUGGCGAAGACAACCGGGUCACAUGACCUUUGAGAUGUCGCCAGGGGCCACCUAGGAUGCAAACAGAGGUGUCAAUUUGGGAAUCAUGGCGUAAGGUGAUUUUUUAAAAAAAGAGUUUCAACUUGGUUUUAAUAAUUCCUUUGUCAGAUUUCUCUCAUUCCUCUGAACGUGGAAAUAGUUCCGAGCUAUAAACCGUGUCUAGAUUGCCAGUACAUUUAGUUUUAGGUUUUGUUUUUGUUUUUCAAACAUCAAAGGUGACCUCUGCCACCAAUUGUUAACCAUGCCAUAGUCGUGACCAUUAAACGUUCCUUUAGGAGUCCAGUUGUAGCAAGUGACAAAUCAAAAGGGAAGAGUCUAUAGCAAAUGUUUUUUUUUUUUUUUUUUUUAGCAAAUGUUUAAUGUUGCUGGAAAGGAUCCUCAGCCCAACAUAAAAUAGAUUAAACAUCAGAAUGUGGUCCAUCCCUUACUGUCAUUGUUCAAGAAAGUUCCUGAAACCCGUAUUCUUCUGUGAAGCAUUGGGCUAAAUCACAGUGGAUUUUUAAGUCGCAUCCUUGGUAAUUAAUCAUACGAUCACGUCUUGUCAAUCAGAGUGAACGCUAAUGCGGUAUCCAGAAAUCUUAUCAUCUGUUUCUCCAGAAGGGACCUGGGCACUGCUUCCCAGUAUCUUAGCCGGAUUUCUUCAUACCAGGCAAGUUUUCCAUUUCAUGAUUAUCUGCUGAAGGUGAAAAGUCUGUCACCAUCUCCUGAGUCCUUGGCAUUGCCAGUUCCAGCCACUCAACCGCAGCUCACAGAAGGAUCCCAUUUCAUGUGUGUGUAGUCUCAGAAAAACUAUACUAACUUCUGUUGAAACCAUUCAAAGCUAAGGACACAAACCUUCAGCAAUGUGAGAAGAUAUUGUACAGUAUAUUUUAAAUCUAUGAAAUUCAUAGUUCUGACGCUUUUGGCCUCCGAGCAUCAUUUUAUCACUUCUAAAAAAUAUUUAUUCCAAACAGCUUUAAUGGCUCAUAUGUACACUCUGUAAUCUCAAGGUUGUUGUUCUGACACCAGCUUGCUGGUAUGAUUUCAGAGUACAUAAGUAAAGGUGCUUUUUAAAAAGAUUUUAUUUAUUAAAAAAAGGCCAGGGGGAGUUAUUAUUAUAAUUUUUAAUAUUUUAUUUAUUCAUGAAUGAAUCCCCUGAAUGAACCGC